GAUGAACGCUGGCGGCGUGCCUAAUACAUGCAAGUCGAGCGAACGGAUAAGGAGCUUGCUCCUUUGACGUUAGCGGCGGACGGGUGAGUAACACGUGGGUAACCUACCUAUAAGACUGGGAUAACUUCGGGAAACCGGAGCCAAUACCGGAUAAUAUUUCGAACCGCAUGGUUCGAUAGUGGAAGAUGGUUUUGCUAUCACUUAUAGAUGGACCCGCGCCGUAUUAGCUAGUUGGUAAGGUAACGGCCUACCAAGGCGACGAUACGUAGCCGACCUGAGAGGGUGAUCGGCCACACUGGAACUGAGACACGGUCCAGACUCCUACGGGAGGCAGCAGUAGGGAAUCUUCCGCAAUGGGCGAAAGCCUGACGGAGCAACGCCGCGUGAGUGAUGAAGGUCUUCGGAUCGUAAAACUCUGUUAUUAGGGAAGAACAUACGUGUAAGUAACUGUGCACGUCUUGACGGUACCUAAUCAGAAAGCCACGGCUAACUACGUG
rnacentral:rRNA from 1 species